ensembl:lncRNA
AAAUAGCUGUGUAUGCUGCCUUUACAACUUGAAGAGGAUGUUUCCCCAUCCCCUCUGGGGAUGUAAAUAGCAUAGAGUCCUGCAGGCCUGCCCCUGGACUGGACCUGCUGUCAGUUAAUCUCUUUGAACUUUUGUCUGGCAGAUGCUGUAUGAAAAAAAUAGGGUUCUACCAUCUACCUACAGCAUGUUCCAUCGUGGGUUCACUGGAGCGGGGCUGAUUUACUGUGUCUGCUGUGCUUCCUGCUGGGCUGAGCCAUGCUUGCUCCAGCUGUUCCAGAUGAGGUCCAAGCAGAAGUGCCCAGGGCGACAUGACGGAUGGCAGCCGCACACCAUUUGCUCUCUCUCUCCAUCCCUUGAAGUGCUGUACACACAGACGUGUGCAGUGUAGGAGUAUAUACAUCAUCUCUAAAUGUUGUUAUGCCACUUCGACAAGUCCAAAGACUUGUACUUGAGGAGAAGAUAGUUGGCUUGGGAUUAUCCUCAUUUCCUGUGGGUGUUCAGUCUAAUCUUAGACAGGCUGUCAAGAAAUCUGUUUCCAAUACAGUCAAAUGUGACCUUUAUCUGUAGGAAGUUCUGUUAUGCCAGAGACACAGAAUCCUGGAGCUCAGCUUUUAUCACAAAGCCUUAGCUACACCAUAUAUAUAAGCUAAAUCCCAACUCUUGGAGGUCUGCAGGUCUAAAACCCUGAUCUUCAUUUGAAGCUCAAUGGGUCGGUUUGGAGAAGUAAAAAGCUAUAGGCCAAGUAGGUUUGUGUUGCUGUGGCAAUGCGCUUGGUUUCGGUGCUUGCUGGAGCACCCAGAGUGCCAACUUCUCCCACAUAGAUUUACAGGAAGGCUACUACCUGUGUGAAAAUGGAUUCUCAGGGAAUGGGUUGGCUGUUUUUUAGGCUGAGCUAGUGUCCUUAAAGGGAUUAAAGGGAGGCGGUAGAAAGCAUUACAUACAACUUUGCUGCUCUGCGGCAGCUUGUUUGAAGCAUCUAUUGUCUGCUGUUGGAUGUGUCUAUUAUCUGUCGUCCAAUCAGCCCCAAUGGCUGCAAGUGUAAGUUAAAUAAGGUGGGAAAGAGAACUGAUCCUUCAGGGACCCCAGGAGAGUGCAGUGGGGAAAACUGUCAGGUCCCACAUACUCCUCAGGUCUUAUGCUGUUGAAUACUGUUCACAACACAGGUUUAUACUGUUGCUUUUUAAGGAGGACCAGAAAGUAUGCAGUUUGCCAUUCCUCUUUGCUGAUGUCAUUGCAAUGCACCCUGCUCGCUUCUCAGAGAUAACAUCCUGCUGCACAGUGCUGCACUCAUUCUGGGUUGACCAUCAGCACCAAGGAAGUAGCAGAUACAACAGUCAAAUACUGUUUUCUUCUCCAAGUUCUACAAAAACUUGUAUGGGUGAACGUAUACUGAGAUAAUCAUUACUUUCAGGUCUUUUAUUUAAUUUGAGAACUAUGAGCAUAUGUGGGAGUUUCUCUGUCAAAUUUGUGUUUGACUCUAGUAUUGCUUUUCCUGCAUGUGUUCACAUUUUGCAAAAUGAUAUAGUGAAGAACCUCAGCUUUUCCCUUCAAGUUUUCCCUACCAAAGCAGGUAUGGAAAGUAUGGUUUCACCUGUUAAGACUGUUUGUAACAACACAUCAAGGCCACAAACUACUGGUAGGGUAGUUUGCUCAUGAAUACCACAGUAACAGUAGAAGCACAUCUUCAGACUGGUAGUUUCUCACGCCACUGGUUCUCUCUUCUAAAACUCAGACUAAAAUCUCUUGAAAGGGAUGUACAUAUAUAACUGCUAGACAAUAUCUCAUAUAUGCACAAAGCCAUGGACCUGUGCCCACAGAUUUUUUCCAAAUGUCAGUAAAUGCCCCAGUCUAUGCACAUCUAUCUUAGAGUUACUUCUGUAGUAUUUUUCAAAAGUGAAAAUCCCUGUGAAUGCUGCUUUUAAAUCAAUCAGCUAUAAUUUUCAGCCUCAAUAGUGGUGCAGUGUGAUAGAUACAAGACAUUGCCAAUCCAAUUUCUUGAUGGCAGUUGACUGUCUCAGACAAUGCUGUGAGUAGUAAGAAAACAAAGCAUUUCUAUUUCACAGUAAUGCCAUGGUACUUUAAUGACAGUAAGUGUUGUUGCUGAGAAUUCUGCAUUUAAAGCUGACUUCAUACAGUUCCAUCCAAGGAUACAUUUUUCACAUUAUAAUUAUCUAAUCAUGCAUUCAUUCAACAUGAACUUUGCCUUCACAUGAAAAGAUAAAAUAUUAUAUGGUUUAAAAUAAAGGGUGGAAUUGCAACCA